UCAUCAAUAAUGCAACAUUUAAAAUAUGAAAACAUGAUAUUAUAUAGUGUCAUUCACAUUAUAAAGUGAGUGGAAAUGAUAGGACAACAGAUCAAACAAUUUUGUGUUACCUCUGCCUUCUAUAGUAGGUAACUCUGAUCCAAGUCCUCCCAGCCAAUAUUAUAUAAAUUGUUGAUUAUUGCUUAUAAUCAUCAUCAAUAAUAUACAUUAGUUGUCAAGAAAAUAAACGCCAUCUGCAAAAAUUUUCAUCUGGACAUUUACACAGGAGUUCCACUCCCAAACAUCCAAACACUUUAUGUGAGAAAGCUGGCCACAAUCUAAUCACCCAAGCAAGGUGUGUAGACCCUAGUCAAUCAAGAAUCGGGUAGUGAUAGAAUGCAUCUCACCAUAU